ensembl:lncRNA
AGGAACAAGAAAACCGAGAGAGAAUUUACCAUAACGCACUCAAAGUUUUUAUGUUUGAUUUUCAGUUCAAUGGACAACAGUUAUGGUAUGUAACCGAAAUGUGUGUUUAAACACAGAGAUGCAAACUCUGCUACCUCAUUAUCAGUUGAAGUAGUUAAAAAAAAAAAAAAAACGUAUUGAAAUUUUUGUUUGAUGAAUAUUUUUAAUUGUUGGAGGGAUGUACUUCCGACAUGCUAACAUUCAAUAUGCUCAAUCCGUUCCCUUACAGUACAAUGUAUCAUUGUUAUUGUAUACUUGAUAUUUUAGUGUGGAUGCUGCCAGAGAGGAUGGAUCACUAGGGAGACUGGUAAAUGACGACGAAGUGAACCCAAACAGCAAAAUUAAAGUUACAAGAGUGGAUGGAAGACCCCAUCUGUGUUUAUUCGCAAUCAAAGAUAUUGGUUCAGGGGAAGAAAUCACUUAUAACUAUGGUAAUUCGGAUUGGCCAUGGAGAAGCAAGGUAGUUAUAUAAAGUUUAUAUAAAGUUAUCUUAAGUAGAAAUAGUAGUAUAGAGUGGUUAAAGGGGUCAUAUAAUGGUAUGUUUUUUCCAGUCAGAUUUGAGCCGUUCGACCUAGUGACAUCACUUUAUCGGACGCCACUCUCACGAUUGAUAAUUGACAAGAUGAGACUUAUUUAGACUUGACUAUUUCAACUUGUUCAGUCCUAUUCAAAAUGUUAGAAACUGACAAGUAAACAGAUUUCUGUUGACCUUAUUUAUCAAUAUAAACUAAUAUGAGGUAUAUCUUGAAGUGUCUAAACUCAUAGGUCCUGUGUAAUCCUCACCAUGUAAGGUUCAGACAUUAGCAGGUCUGUUAGUUUUGUGCAUUAGAUAUGAACUCAUGAGAAUGAUAUUAAGUAGUAGUAUUGAGACGCACGGUCCUGUGUAACCAUUAAGGUACAAACUCUCGAUGACUUUUCGUCUCUUGAUUAGUUUAGACUUCCAAAGAGAUGCCAUGUCAGGCUGCUGAUGUGGACAAAUGCAGUUCCUUUGCAGUCAUUCCAAAGACUUCCAAAGAGAUGCCAUGUCAGGCUGCUGAUGUGGACAAAUGCAGUUCCUUUGCAGUCAUUCCAAAGACUUCCAAAGAGAUGCCAUGUCAGGCUGCUGAUGUGGACAAAUGCAGUUCCUUUGCAGUCAUUCCAAAGACUUCCAAAGAGAAGCCAUGUCAGGCUGCUGAUGUGGACAAAUGCAGUUCCUUUGCAGUCAUUCCAAAGACUUCCAAAGAGAAGCCAUGUCAGGCUGCUGAUGUGGACAAAUGCAGUUCCUUUGCAGUCAUUCCAAAGGUAAUUUUUGAACUUCAAUGACUUUACUGUAGAUAUGAACUCAUGAGAAUGAUAUUAAGUAGUAGUAUUGAGACGCACAGGUCUUGUGUAGUCCUCAAAUUUACAAGUCAAAGAGGACUUGAGUAAAUUCAGUUGAGUCUUCUGAAGGUUUUUUCUUUUUUUUUUUUUUUUUUGCUUGAUCUAUCACAAUAUUUCUUCUAUCAUUUUUUUGAAAUGUGAUUGUUGUGACCCCCUAAAAAAUUGCCCCACACAGUUGUGGUGUGAAAUCUUUUCCUAUCUGUAUAACAAUAUUCUUGAUGGACUGGCACCAAAUGUUCCUGGUUCUAUACAAUGCCGUUCUAUAAGUCCCCAGUGAGUGUACCUUUGUUUUGUUUUGUAACAUUUAUCAUACUGUGUACUGUUGAAAGGUGACAGAGAAUGAAAAAAACGUUUUUGCCUUGUCUUAGUUGAAUAACAGUAGUCUACCCGCAUACACGAACAUACAAAAAGUGCUAGACAUUCUGAACAUCUCCGUUUCAUAGAAAUUCAUCCUUUAGAAAACGGCCCAAUCUAAACAACGGGUACAUAUUAUGUAACGUGUCUCACUGCCCCUCCGCUUCAAAAUAAUUUUCAUACAUCUACG